CUCACUUUUCGCACGAUCGUUUCACGAUAAUCGAAUAUGAACGAAUUAACACAUCACACUAAAUUCUUCUAAAGGCUUCUCACGAAAUUUCAAGAUUAUGAGCUCUCACUUUUGAAAUAAAAUCGCGGCGAUUAUCGAAUCGAAGCGUGACUAUUACUUAGGCUUAUUUGAAUAACGCGCGCUUGACCGAUAAUGUCGUCACGGAAAUAUUCGCGUUAUGCGCGCGCCAUUAACCUCCGGCCAUGCUUGAUUUUCGUGGUAAGCUAAAGCAAACUGUCGGUUGUUUCGUGCUCGACCACGAGUGGCACCGCUUGUUAAAAACGCUCUUUCGCCCGUGGUGUACCGCCGGGCGACUGACACCGAUUUCUUUGAACGAAAAAAAAAAAGGGAUCGCCGGUGUUUUAGACAGAAUUUUAAAUUUCACGACGAGAUAACGAUCGAUCAACGAAACGAGGUGAAGAUAGAGGAGAUCAUUAAACAUGGAACUGGUCAGGAAUGCCGAAGAGUUUUAUAAAAACAUUUACUUAAUGUUGGAUUUCUACUCGGAAAUUUCAUUUUCUUCUGCCAGAGCCUUGUUCCAGCUUCUUUAAUUGCGCGUUUCAACUGUUUAUUGGAUCGCAAUACACUUCUUUCGAUGCGUUCAAUAAUUCAUUUCUAAAGUUUUCCGAAGAUAGAACGUACAAUUAAUGUUUCCAUUCCUUCAGUGCAAUUGCGUUACUUUUUGUUGACGAUCAUUAUAUUCAAUUAAAUUCAUAAAUCUUCGAAUGUUUGCCUCUGGAAAUCUCGCUUCUUCUCCCCUCGAGGAAACGCACAAGGGGAUCAAAGAUGCCCCAGAUGUCUGCACGACUAACGGGUCCAUUAAUUGUCACGAGCUUCAGAUUUACGAUACGUGGCGACUGAAGAGGGUAAAGUGAUGCGAAAGUGUAUUCACGAA